CGAGAUGCUUUACACAUGCAAGUCGUACGGGAGUUUUUAACUCUAGUGGCGGACGGGUGAGUAACACGUAAGAAUUUGCCUUUAGGAGGGGGAUAACAUCGUCAGAAAUGAUUCGAGAAAUUGAUGCUAAUACCCCAUAUGCUUUCGAGUGAAAUGGAGUUUUCCGCCUAAAGAGAAGCUUGCGGCUGAUUAGCUUGUUGGUGAGGUAAUGGCUUACCAAGGCGACGAUCAGUAUCUGGUUUGAGAGGAUGAUCAGACACACUGGAACUGAGACACGGUCCAGACUCCUACGGGAGGCAGCAGUGGGGAAUUUUCCGCAAUGGGCGAAAGCCUGACGGAGCAAUCUCGCGUGAGGGAUGACUGCCUAUGGGUUGUAAACCUCUUUUUUCAGGGAGGAAUAAAUGACGUUACCUGAAGAAUAAGCAUCG
rnacentral:rRNA from 1 species